GCCCGCAUAGCUCAAUGGAUAGAGCGUCAGUCUUCGGAACUGCAGGUUGGGAGUUCGAGUCUCUCUGCGGGCGCCA
rnacentral:tRNA from 1 species